AAUUUUGGACAAUGGGCGCAAGCCUGAUCCAGCCAUGCCGCGUGAGUGAAGAAGGCCUUCGGGUUGUAAAGCUCUUUCGGUGGGGACGAAACGGUUCGUGCUAAUACCACGGACUAAUGACGGUACCCGAAGAAGAAGCACCGGCUAACUACGUGCCAGCAGCCGCGGUAAUACGUAGGGUGCAGGCGUUAAUCGGAAUUACUGGGCGUAAAGCGUGCGCAGGCGGUUUGCCAAGACAGAUGUGAAAUCCCCGGGCUUAACCUGGGAACUGCGUUUGUAACUGGCAAGCUAGAGUGUGGCAGAGGGGGGUGGAAUUCCAAGUGUAGCAGUGAAAUGCGUAGAUAUUUGGAGGAACACCGAUGGCGAAGGCAGCCCCCUGGGCUAACACUGACGCUCAUGCACGAAAGCGUGGGGAGCAAACAGGAUUAGAUACCCUGGUAGUCCACGCCCUAAACUAUGUCAACUGGUUGUCGGGGAAGCAAUUCCUGUAACGAAGCUAACGCG
rnacentral:rRNA from 1 species